rnacentral:rRNA from 1 species
GAUGAACGCUGGCGGCGUGCCUAAUACAUGCAAGUCGAGCGAACAGACGAGGAGCUUGCUCCUCUGAUGUUAGCGGCGGACGGGUGAGUAACACGUGGAUAACCUACCUAUAAGACUGGGAUAACUUCGGGAAACCGGAGCUAAUACCGGAUAACAUGUUGAACCGCAUGGUUCAACAGUGAAAGACGGUCUUGCUGUCACUUAUAGAUGGAUCCGCGCCGCAUUAGCUAGUUGGUAAGGUAACGGCUUACCAAGGCAACGAUGCGUAGCCGACCUGAGAGGGUGAUAGGACAGCAGGAAAGUGAGACAGGGUCCAGACACAAGAGGGAGGCAGCAGUGGGGAAUAUGCCGAAAUGGGCGAAGGCCUGACAGAGCAGAGCCGCGGGGAUGAAGAAGGGUUUCGGAUCGUACAACUGUGUUAUUAGGAAAGAACAAAUAUGUAAGGAACUAUGGCCGUCUUGACGGUACCUAAUCAGAAAGCCGCGGCUAACUACGUG